rnacentral:rRNA from 1 species
GACGAACGCUGGCGGCGUGCCUAAUACAUGCAAGUCGAGCGGACCGACGGGAGCUUGCUCCCUUAGGUCAGCGGCGGACGGGUGAGUAACACGUGGGUAACCUGCCUGUAAGACUGGGAUAACUCCGGGAAACCGGGGCUAAUACCGGAUGCUUGAUUGAGCCGCAUGGUUCAAUUAUAAAAGGUGGCUUUCAGCUACCACUUACAGAUGGACCCGCGGCGCAUUAGCUAGUUGGUGAGGUAACGGCUCACCAAGGCGACGAUGCGUAGCCGACCUGAGAGGGUGAUCGGCCACACUGGGACUGAGACACGGCCCAGACUCCUACGGGAGGCAGCAGUAGGGAAUCUUCCGCAAUGGACGAAAGUCUGACGGAGCAACGCCGCGUGAGUGAUGAAGGUUUUCGGAUCGUAAAACUCUGUUGUUAGGGAAGAACAAGUACCGUUCGAAUAGGGCGGCACCUUGACGGUACCUAACCAGAAAGCCACGGCUAACUACGUGCCAGCAGCCGCGGUAAUACGUAGGUGGCAAGCGUUGUCCGGAAUUAUUGGGCGUAAAGCGCGCGCAGGCGGUUUCUUAAGUCUGAUGUGAAAGCCCCCGGCUCAACCGGGGAGGGUCAUUGGAAACUGGGGAACUUGAGUGCAGAAGAGGAGAGUGGAAUUCCACGUGUAGCGGUGAAAUGCGUAGAGAUGUGGAGGAACACCAGUGGCGAAGGCGACUCUCUGGUCUGUAACUGACGCUGAGGCGCGA